rnacentral:ncRNA from 1 species
UGCAAUAGUAACUGAACUUGGUACGAGAGGAACCGUUCAUUCGGAUAAUUGGUAUUUGAGCCUGCCUGAGCAGGCAAUGGCCCGAAGCUAUGAUCCGUUGGGUUAUGGCUGAACGCCUCUAAGUCAGAACCCGUGCUAGAACGCG